GCCUCGAUGGUGUGGUGGUAGGGCACGCGUCCCUAUAUAGCAUGAAAUGCGGGUUCAAUCCCCGCCUGAGGUCA